rnacentral:rRNA from 1 species
CCUACGGGUGGCUGCAGUGGGGAAUAUUGCACAAUGGGCGCAAGCCUGAUGCAGCCAUGCCGCGUGUGUGAAGAAGGCCUUCGGGUUGUAAAGCACUUUCAGCGGGGAGGAAGGCGGUGAGGUUAAUAACCUCAUCGAUUGACGUUACCCGCAGAAGAAGCACCGGCUAACUCCGUGCCAGCAGCCGCGGUAAUACGGAGGGUGCAAGCGUUAAUCGGAAUUACUGGGCGUAAAGCGCACGCAGGCGGUCUGUCAAGUCGGAUGUGAAAUCCCCGGGCUCAACCUGGGAACUGCAUUCGAAACUGGCAGGCUAGAGUCUUGUAGAGGGGGGUAGAAUUCCAGGUGUAGCGGUGAAAUGCGUAGAGAUCUGGAGGAAUACCGGUGGCGAAGGCGGCACCCUGGACAAAGACUGACGCUCAGGUGCGAAAGCGUGGGGAGCAAACAGGAUUAGAUACCCGAGUAGUC